ACAAAAACAUAGUUUAAAGAAAAAGAUUUUAGAUAAAUUCUGCUCAAUGAGUAAAUUAAAUAGCUGCAGUAAAUUAACUGUACUAAGGUAGCAUAAUAAGUUGCUUUAUAAUUAAAAGCUUGAAUGAAAGAAAUAAUGUGAAACAAGCUUUUUAAACUAAAGUAGUAAAAAUUAAUAUUUAAGUGAAAAAUCUUAAAUAAAAUCAAAAGACAAGAAGACCCUUUAGAACUUUACAAAUUAACUUAAUUUCAUUUGGUUAAUUUGUUAGAUUGGGGAGAUUUUUAAAUAAAUAAAUCUUUAGAUAUAAAAAAAUGAUUUAAAUCAAAUUAAAUUAUCCAAAUAUGAAAUAAAACAAGUUACCUAAGGGAUAACAGCGCAAAAUUUUUGAGAAGUUCUCAUUUACAAAAUAAAUUGCGACCUCGAUGUUGGAUUAAGAACAACUUAUAAAGCAAAAAUUUAGAAGAGACGCUGCCUCCCCGCCCUUAAU
rnacentral:rRNA from 1 species